GUGGGGAAUAUUGGGCAAUGGGCGAAAGCCUGACCCAGCAACGCCGCGUGAAGGAAGAAGGUCUUCGGAUCGUAAACUUCUAUCCUUGGUGAAGAUAAUGACGGUAGCCGAGAAGGAAGCCCCGGCUAACUACGUGCCAGCAGCCGCGGUAAUACGUAGGGGGCAAGCGUUGUCCGGAAUGAUUGGGCGUAAAGGGCGCGUAGGCGGCCUGGUAAGUCUGGAGUGAAAGUCCUGCUUUUAAGGUGGGAAUUGCUUUGGAUACUGUCGGGCUUGAGUGCAGGAGAGGUAAGUGGAAUUCUCGGUGUAGCGGUGAAAUGCGUAGAGAUCGGGAGGAACACCAGUGGCGAAGGCGACUUACUGGACUGUAACUGACGCUGAGGCGCGAAAGUGUGGGGAGCAAACAGGAUUAGAUACCCUAGUAGUCC
rnacentral:rRNA from 1 species